GCAUAAUGUUUUAUAACCUUCGUGAAGGUAUAAAACAUGCUGUUAACAAAAUUUCUUUUAUCAAAUUUGUGUUAUAUUGACUUCCUGGCCUUGGGCCCUCAGUUGGGAUAAAGAUGAAGAGUUUCUGGGAAAAGUGCUUAUGGCAGCCAAAGACUUCACAGAUGGACGGCUGCGAAGAGCUGGGCUCCCAAACACCCUAACAAGCUCACAACAAAUUUCUGCUGAGGUUUGGUUUCACCUGCUCGUGCAGACUUCCCACCUUGUAUGUCCCUAGCUGCAGAUGCAGAGCUUCGAAACAAAGUUUGGCCAGCUGUCAGUCACUUCUCUUGGUGCACAACUGGAAGGCACUGGGAUGCUACACUGGUGAGUGCAGUGAAAGGGAGCUCAGUGGUGUGUUCAUACGGCUUUUAUUGGGUUGAGAUGUUUGUCAGUGUAACAAAAGCUGUUCCUUGGCUUCAGUACCGGGGGUAUCUUGUUUGUGAUGCUGUGAUACUCGAAACAAAGACUUUGUGUGCAUGCUCUGCUUUCCUAGAAGCUAACAGCAGCUCCCAGCGGCAGGCUGCCUGGCUGUUGUGUACAUGGAUGCUCUCCAGCGCUAAUGUCACCAGACUAUCAAGUCAAAACACGCUGGUGCGCACGUGGCAUCUUUAUUUACCAGUCUGAGCCCAGCCAUUUCCACUGGGGAGGCACCGUGCUGACAGAAGAACUUGUUUUCUGGCAGCUGAUGAGACGAUCCUGCCCACACGUGCCAGUCCUUCUUCCAGAUGUCUGUAAACCAGCUUUUGGGGACACCUGAUGAAACUUGAUGGUUUGCUCCUGCUCUACAGUGCCAGGUGGAUUUGAACAGUGGUAUGUACUGAAUAUUCCAGCUUCCAAACCUCAGAAGAGACAUGGGGCACCUGGUGCUGGGAUGGCAAUCAGAGGAAGCACGGGGAUGGGAACAGAGCUCACUCCCCUUGGUUAUCCACUGUGACCUACAUGGCACAACAAAAAAACUGUUUCCUUCCAUCUCUUCCAGAAGCAUGUUUCCAUCUAAUGCAAGAGAAGCUGUGCCCACACGAUGGGCAGGACCACAGCAGGAGCUUGCUGCAGGGCUUCGCAGCCUUCCCCUGAGCAGAAAAGCCCGCAGCUGGCUCCCACCUCAGCCAGAAGCAACAUCUCAGCAUCCCCGUUUCUUCGUGUCACCCCACGUGAGCUGCUACAGGGACAGCAGACAGAGCUGCCCGGUUGCAGGAGUGCUGUGGGCAGCCAGAGGCCAGCGUUUCACGAUGAGAAGCGGGACCAGCUUUCAGCUUCCUCGUCUCUAGGGAGACUUCCCCUGAGACAGUUGCCAAAGGAUCUCUGGGAAGUGAUUAGCGUUUCGUUCAGGAACAGAAAGGUCAGCAAGCUAUGGAAUUAGCAAGGUUACAAUAUUAAUUACUCAGGAUCAGAUGCUAUUUGCGCUAUCCUAAUCUUCUUUUUUCUUGUUGUUUUUUUUUUUUUCUUUUUUCUUCUGACAAGCUGUAUGAACCUGCCUAGCUUUAGGGACUGUACGCUGUCACACCCACCAAGUCAGGGGGAUUCCCCAGGGUGUGCAGUGUCUUUAGGAUUGAUUGCUUACUCACUGCCCUCUCCCCCUAAGACCAAGAAGAUUCCUCAAGGCAUCAGAAUUACUUUGUAUGAACAAGUGGCCAAAUCUGGCCAUAGAUUUUAAAGAUUCACCAAGCCUCUCAUUUUAUUAUAUCUACGUUUAACUCUCCUGUUACUUUUGCAGAGGUAUUUAAUGUAAAUUCUGCCUUUUAUCCAACCUAUUCCUUCCAUAUAUUGAGCCUGCAAACAGUUACUACAGCUCUUAAUGGUGAAAGGUCCACCUCAGCGUGAUUCACUGCUGCUUCAAACUACGGCUGUUGUAAAUUGGUGGAAAGUAGACAGAAACACUGGUGUUUUGAUGAAAUAAUAUUUGAAAACCCACAUUCUGCUGAUGCAAAGGCCUGUAGGAGAUGGUGGAAAAUCAGUGCGCUGCUUUGAGUGCACUCAGGUGUUGCAGCAUGGUGAUAUGAGCAAAACAGAACUGGGACCCCUGCUCAUUUUGGGGGGCAAACUGUAGCAGGUCCCAGUUAUGACAAGGAUGGUGCAGAUAAGGUAGGAAGACCAUCACAGUGUAAUUCCCUGGGUAUCUGCCCAAAUCCUUGCUGGCCUGGUCGGAUGUGGGGGCCCUGGCAGCAAAGGCAGCGUGCACCAGAGCCUGGCCACCAGCAGAUGGAGGUCUCACCAGCGUGAGGCCAGAGUAAACUAUUUCCGUGGCAUUCAGACUCCAGAAUUAAAUAGCUGAGUGCAAAAGCAAACUAUGGCCAAGAAGGGCUCCUUUUCACAGUAGUUGGAAAACCAGGACUUGGGGAGGAGUUCAACAAAUUCCUGGGUUUCCAGCUCACACUAGCUGCUGUUAGCUUUCUAUUCAGCAUGGUUAUCAGACCAGAGUUUGGGGUUAAUCUCACUCUGUGGCACCAAGAGCCUGGGAAACAGCAAGGCAUUUGGAGAAAACCUGCUGAGAAGACAGUAACAAGCGCUGCUAAUGAGCCGGGGGGGAAUGGAGCAUGCACUGCACCAGAGGCACAGCAUCUUUCUGCAGGCAAAAAGAACUGACGUUUCGCCUGCUAGUCAGAUGCAUUUCCUCGGCAUAAAUAAAUAAUUUUCCUCCAUAUGGUGUGAUUAGUAGCUUUUGGCCAUUAUUAUGGACCAUCAGUAUUGCUGUUACGGUGGUAAAUAGCUCUAGCCACGGUCUGACCCCAGGGUGUGAGGCAUGGUGUGAAUGGGGCACAGGCUGACCCUUCAGUGGGGUGUUCACAGGCUGGCAGGGAAGGAGCUGCUGCCAGUCUCCAGCAAAUACCCAUUUCUUGGCUCUUCCAAUUAUCCGGGCAAAGCAGAGAGAGCCAGGCUCAGUGCUGAAAACUGCUGCACAUCCCAGCUCUUCUCCUGUCACUGCUGGGGCCUGGGGAGGGAGAAAUGGGGCAUCUCCAGUGCAGGCAGACCUGGCCACAACUUACAAUUCAGGAUCUCAGAGCUUGAGAUCCAUUCCAUGUCCUCCUAGGCAAACCAGGAGCUUUGCACUCCUGCCUUAAAAACAAAACAAAACAAAACAAACAAACAAAAAAAAAACAAAAAAACCCACAGGGAUCAGGAGAAGAGAUCAGGAGAAAAGAUGUUCCCUUCUAUAUAGCUUUAUUGCUUGCAUUAACAUUACUUACAAGCCUUAUUGCUUUCAGUUAAAGUCUGCUGGAGGAGGGAUCACCCGACUGAAAAAAAAAAAAAAAAAAAAAAAAGAUUUUAAGUCCAGGAAGAAAAGAAAAAGAGAGAGAGAGAGUUUAAGUCCACAGAGAAGAGGUAUAUUUUAAAUGCAUAAAAGAGACAUUUUUAAAUGCACAAAAAUAAAAUAAAAUAAAAUAUAUAUAUUUUAAGUCCACAAAAAGAGAUAUAUUUUAAGUCCACAAAAAAGAUAUAUUUAAGUCCACCAAAAAAAAAAAUAAUUUAAGUGCACAAGAAAAGAGGCAUAUUUCAAGUCCCCAAAACUUUUCGAUGCUUACUGAACACGCUGCGAGAAGCCGCCAGCCCUCCCUCUCUCCCCCCUCCCCUUGCCAGCACAUCGCUGCCUCCUUCCCCACCCCCGAGAGGUCCUCGGAAGCCCCGGGGCUCCCUCCCGGGGGGCGCAGCUCCCCCUUCCCCCGGCGGGGCGGCCCCGCUCGCACUUCCUGCUGCUGGCGGCGGGGCGAGGCGGCCCCGGCCG
rnacentral:lncRNA from 1 species